rnacentral:rRNA from 1 species
AUACGGAGGGAGCAAGCGUUAUUCGGAAUCACUGGGCGUAAAGGACGCGUAGGCGGGUUUGUAAGUCAGGUGUGAAAUCCUACAGCUCAACUGUAGAACUGCACUUGAAACUACAGACCUUGAGUAUGGAAGGGGCAGAUGGAAUUAGUGGUGUAGGGGUAAAAUCCGUAGAUAUCACUAGGAAUACCGAAAGCGAAGGCGAUCUGCUGGGACAUUACUGACGCUGAGGCGUGAAAGCGUGGGGAGCAAACAGGAUUAGAAACCCUAGUAGUCC